GACGAACGCUGGCGGCGCGCUUAACACAUGCAAGUCGAACGGAAAGGCCCUGCUUUUGUGGGGUGCUCGAGUGGCGAACGGGUGAGUAACACGUGAGUAACCUGCCCUUGACUUUGGGAUAACUUCAGGAAACUGGGGCUAAUACCGGAUAGGAGCUCCUGCUGCAUGGUGGGGGUUGGAAAGUUUCGGCGGUUGGGGAUGGACUCGCGGCUUAUCAGCUUGUUGGUGGGGUAGUGGCUUACCAAGGCUUUGACGGGUAGCCGGCCUGAGAGGGUGACCGGCCACAUUGGGACUGAGAUACGGCCCAGACUCCUACGGGAGGCAGCAGUGGGGAAUAUUGCACAAUGGGCGGAAGCCUUAUGCAGCAACGCCGCGUGCGGGAUGACGGCCUUCGGGUUGUAAACCGCUUUCGCCUGUGACGAAGCGUGAGUGACGGUAAUGGGUAAAGAAGCACCGGCUAACUACGUG
rnacentral:rRNA from 1 species